UAGGGAAUCUUCCGCAAUGGGCGAAAGCCUGACGGAGCAACGCCGCGUGAGUGAUGAAGGUCUUCGGAUCGUAAAACUCUGUUAUUAGGGAAGAACAAAUGUGUAAGUAACUAUGCACGUCUUGACGGUACCUAAUCAGAAAGCCACGGCUAACUACGUGCCAGCAGCCGCGGUAAUACGUAGGUGGCAAGCGUUAUCCGGAAUUAUUGGGCGUAAAGCGCGCGUAGGCGGUUUUUUAAGUCUGAUGUGAAAGCCCACGGCUCAACCGUGGAGGGUCAUUGGAAACUGGAAAACUUGAGUGCAGAAGAGGAAAGUGGAAUUCCAUGUGUAGCGGUGAAAUGCGCAGAGAUAUGGAGGAACACCAGUGGCGAAGGCGACUUUCUGGUCUGUAACUGACGCUGAUGUGCGAGAGCGUGGAGAUCAAACAGG
rnacentral:rRNA from 1 species